rnacentral:rRNA from 1 species
UCAGUGAAAUUAAUCUCCCCGUGAAGAAGCGGGGAUACCCAUAUAAGACGAGAAGACCCCAUGGAGCUUCAAACCCAACUACACCCCUAGCUCUUAUAGCCCCACAACCCCCCUAGGCACCGUGUGCUUGGUUUUAGGUUGGGGCGACCGCGGAGUACAAUAAAACCUCCACAAUGAAUGGGAACACCCCCUUAUCUGAGGGCCACACCCCCUAAGAAUUAGAACACUAACAUAAAAUGAUCCAUUACUUGAUCAAUGAACCAAGUUACCCUGGGGAUAACAGCGCAAUCCAUUUCA